GGUUAAAAAUGAAAAGUGUGUAAUAAAAAAAAUAUAUAUGUGAAGUAUGUGUGUGUGUGGUCGAUCGUGAGAAGGCCAGGAGAAAGUUCUCCAUCUCAAAACCCUAAGAUACUAAAUUCCAUCAAAUUGAAAAGGGAAUCAAGGAUUUUUCAAAUGCAUGAGCCAAGAACUUCAACUAUCUAAGUGUUCUUGACAUCUAGAACAAAGAAGGAAGAAGGCGCAAGUCACACGAAAUCACAAGCAUCUCAAGAUCGCGAUGGCCGAUAGAGUGAACGUGAAUGACGACGAUGAAGCACACCGAAAUGAAAUAAGAACUAUAGUUGUGGAAGAGGUAAAGAAAGCAAUUGAGGCUAGUAUACCCCGACUAGCUCAGGAAGUCGAGGGCAAGUAUUAGAGGUAGCUAAUACCGUGGUAACAUCUAAGGUGGAAGAAUUGAAAGAAAUGAUUAGUGAACUGCAAGUGAAGAAAAGCAAACGGAGAUGUACGUACAAAGAGUUCAUGGCAUGUAAUCCCUUACCAUACAAAGGGGAUGUUGAUCCGAUAGCUUGCCAAAGGUGGAUUUCAAGCACUGAAGCCGUGUUUACACGAAGUAGAUGUGAAGUGGAAGAUCAAGUAAUGUUUGCCACGGGCCUCCUACAAUUUCGAGCAAAAGAUUGGUGGGAUGCAUACUCGAAGGAAUUGGGGGAUGAUAAAGUACAGUCGUUAACAUGGCAAGAAUUCAAGGAGUCAUUCCUGAAAUAUUAUAGUCCACAAUCCGCAAUUGAUAAGAUUCAGGAAGACUUCUUGCGUCUCAGACAGAAGGAUGAAACGAUUGACGAGAUAACAAACAAGUUCCUUGAAAGGGUGAAGUUCUGUGAGGAGAUAGCGGGGACGGAGAGGCAAAGGAUUGUACGUUACCAUGCUAUGCUAAAGGCCGAAUAUCGGGAAUUUGUAAAUCCCUCCAAGUGUGCAACGUUGAAUGAACUAAUUGAUUGGGCAAGAGACAGAGAAAUUGAAAUAAAAAGGCAGGUUGAACGGGGAGAGAAAAGGGUAGCGGAGAAGCCUACCAACGCAAGCCCAUCGAAAAAGGCAAGACACCAAGAUCAAAGCAAGAAAGGGAAAGCAAGUGGUGAAAUCCCGACCUGCAAGACGUGUGGGAAGCAUCAUUCGGGUGAAUGUUUGUCGGGAAAGAAGGGGUGCUACAAAUGUGGGCGAGAAGGACAUCCGUUUUAUAGGUGCCCAGAAAACUCAAAGGCGUGUUACAAUUGCAAUGAACCGGGGCACAUUAAAGCGGAAUGUCCGAAACUCCAACAAGGGGCAAAGAGAGAUGGAAAGAAGGACGAGCCCCCCCAAGGCUCGCGGAAGGAUGUUUCAGUUAACCUCGGAUGAAGCUAAAGCUAGCCCGGACGUGGUUUCAGGAACAAAGAAGGAAGAAGGCGCAAGUCACACGAAAUCACAAGCAUCUCAAGAUCGCGGUAAAUCCCUUGCUUGAUUGCGGCGCACCCGAACCGAACACACACACGAAACGUCGACUUUAUGCGCUUCCGGUCCAAGUUGUUUGUUUUGAUGGGUUAACUUACCAUUUCGUUUAGUAAAUGUUAUUUUGUAAGUGUCUAGUUUGUUAGUAAAAAGUUUGGAUACUAAACUUUUGUGUAGUUUGUACAAAAGGUUCAUGGCGAACCAUAUACGGUCUGAACUUUGAUUAUGUUGGAAAGUGUCGUAGUAUUAAUAGUAAUGGUAUUGUUAAACACAGGGAGAAGGGUACCUAUUACGAACGGGUCAUGUCAAAAUUUUGGUAAAAUUUGUAAAAAAAAAAAAAAAAUUAUGUGUCGAUUGGUCGAAUGAGGAAAUUUGGGGCUCCAAAAGUGGAAGUUUAUGUUAUACGUUAAAUGUGAAAAAUUUGGGCGUUUCACUGUAAGUGUCGGUCAUUACCACCGCUACACCGUUUAUACGACGGUUGCCAACACCCUGCCCCAAAUCCUGCCCGGCGACAAACGGAAUCGAAAGCGGCAAGAGAGCUAUUCCCUUCCUUCCCUGAACCGCAUCAGGUAACGACUUCGUCCCGCACAUCGCUUAACCACCAUCCUCACCAGUAGGUCCGGUAGACAUAGUAGCAGCCAUAGAUCAAAGAAGCGGAAAAAUCAAAUUAGAAGAGAUAAAGAGUUGGGGGAAAAAUCGGAAAGGACUCGCUGAAAAAGUUGCUCGGAAAGUGAGAUCUAAAAAUUUGGGUAGGUUUUUCAUUGGUUGUGUUUUCAGGUGUUUUAUUUUGAUAUCAGGGAGAACCAGAGGGGUCGGUUUCUGAAGUCAUCUUUCAGGUACGUGCAGUCCGUUACGCGAUGAGGAUGGGCAGCAAACGUUUCUGCAAGCACGUCAACGUACGUCUAUUCUUGCACCACGUGUUCCGAAGGAGCUGCUUUUUACUUCGUCUUCUUAUGUCGCGGGUAUUGUGAAGCACUAAAGUGCGCUUCUGGUAUGCGGAAAAGUAUUUCGUUGUCUUCCUUACAUCAAAGACCCAAGCCAGUCGCGAUAGUGGGUCAGUUUUGUUAAUUGCAGGUUGCAUUUCUUAACAUAUCAAUUUCAAAGUUGUGCGUUGCUGGUAACAAGACACAUAUGUAGAGAACAAAAUUGCUCAGACCUUGACGAGUGUCAACCGUGUUACUACAAAGGAUUCAUAAUAAAUCAGAUUGCAUAGAGUGUCGCUGCUGGUAAGAUUUUAUUAAUUGCAAAUUGUAUUUUUUAUUAUGUGAGCUUCAUAGUUGUAAGUUGUAUCUAAGGGGACAGGUGUGUAAGGUACAUGUAAUGUGUCAUAUUGCAAAUGCACCUGUACUGAGUUUCAUGUUUU